rnacentral:misc_RNA from 1 species
GAAAUGCGAUAAGUAAUGUGAAUUGCAGAAUUCAGUGAAUCAUCGAAUCUUUGAACGCACAUUGCGCCCGCCAGUAUUCUGGCGGGCAUGCCUGUCCGAGCGUCAUUUCAACCAUCAAGCCCCCCGGCUUGUGUUGGGGACCUGCGGCUGCCGCAGGCCCUGAAAAGCAGUGGCGGGCUCGCUGUCACACCGAGCGUAGUAGCAUACAUCUCGCUCUGGGCGUGCUGCGGGUUCCGGCCGUUAAACCACCUUCGUAACCCAAGGUUGACCUCGGAUCAGGUAGGAAGACCCGCUGAACUUAAGC